rnacentral:lncRNA from 1 species
AAAAACAGUGUUGAAAUAAAUUGAGAUAAUGGAAUGACAAUAACAAUACAAUAUAAAUGUAUUUAUAGCACCACAAAUGAUGCAACGACAGAGACAGUACAAACAAAAUGAGUAUAUUUUCAGCAUCACAAGUAACGCAGCAGCAACAACGGUACAAGCAUAUUUUCAGCAUUAUAUUAUGACAGAAUCAUAGAAUGGACACACAAUUAAUGUCUGAAUCAGGAUACAACAUUGAAUA